rnacentral:rRNA from 1 species
CCGCGGUGCAUUAGCUAGUUGGUGAGGUAACGGCUCACCAAGGCCACGAUGCAUAGCCGACCUGAGAGGGUGAUCGGCCACAUUGGGACUGAGACACGGCCCAAACUCCUACGGGAGGCAGCAGUAGGGAAUCUUCGGCAAUGGACGAAAGUCUGACCGAGCAACGCCGCGUGAGUGAAGAAGGUUUUCGGAUCGUAAAACUCUGUUGUUAGAGAAGAACAAGGAUGAGAGUAACUGUUCAUCCCUUGACGGUAUCUAACCAGAAAGCCACGGCUAACUACGUGCCAGCAGCCGCGGUAAUACGUAGGUGGCAAGCGUUGUCCGGAUUUAUUGGGCGUAAAGCGAGCGCAGGCGGUUUCUUAAGUCUGAUGUGAAAGCCCCCGGCUCAACCGGGGAGGGUCAUUGGAAACUGGGAGACUUGAGUGCAGAAGAGGAGAGUGGAAUUCCAUGUGUAGCGGUGAAAUGCGUAGAUAUAUGGAGGAACACCAGUGGCGAAGGCGGCUCUCUGGUCUGUAACUGACGCUGAGGCUCGAAAGCGUGGGGAGCAAACAGGAUUAGAUACCCUGGUAGUCCACGCCGUAAACGAUGAGUGCUAAGUGUUGGAGGGUUUCCGCCCUUCAGUGCUGCAGCUAACGCAUUAAGCACUCCGCCUGGGGAGUACGACCGCAAGGUUGAAACUCAAAGGAAUUGACGGGGGCCCGCACAAGCGGUGGAGCAUGUGGUUUAAUUCGAAGCAACGCGAAGAACCUUACCAGGUCUUGACAUCCUUUGACCACUCUAGAGAUAGAGCUUCCCCUUCGGGGGCAAAGUGACAGGUGGUGCAUGGUUGUCGUCAGCUCGUGUCGUGAGAUGUUGGGUUAAGUCCCGCAACGAGCGCAACCCUUAUUGUUAGUUGCCAUCAUUCAGUUGGGCACUCUAGCAAGACUGCCGGUGACAAACCGGAGGAAGGUGGGGAUGACGUCAAAUCAUCAUGCCCCUUAUGACCUGGGCUACACACGUGCUACAAUGGGAAGUACAACGAGUUGCGAAGUCGCGAGGCUAAGCUAAUCUCUUAAAGCUUCUCUCAGUUCGGAUUGCAGGCUGCAACUCGCCUGCAUGAAGCCGGAAUCGCUAGUAAUCGCGGAUCAGCACGCCGCGGUGAAUACGUUCCCGGGCCUUGUACACACCGCCCGUCACACCACGAGAGUUUGUAACACCCGAAGUCGGUGAGGUAACCUUUUUGGAGCCAGCCGCCUAAGGUGGGAUAGAUGAUUGGGGUGAAGUCGUAACAAGGUAGCCGUAUCGGAAGGUGCGGCUG